UACGAAGGUCCCGAGCGUUAUUCGGAAUCACUGGGCGUAAAGAGUACGUAGGCGGUUUGGUAAGUCAGGUGUGAAAUCCCGGAGCUCAACUCCGGAACUGCAUCCGAUACUGCUAGACUUGAGUAAUGGAGGGGCAGGUGGAAUUCUCGGUGUAGCAGUGAAAUGCGUGGAUAUCGAGAGGAAGACCAAUGGCGAAGGCAGCCUGCUGGACAUUUACUGACGCUGAGGUACGAAGGCCAGGGUAGCGAAAGGG
rnacentral:rRNA from 1 species